GAUUAACGCUGGCGGCGUGCAUAACACAUGCAAGUCGAACGAUGAAACUUAAAUGAUUUCUUCGGAAUGAACUUAAGUGGAUUAGUGGCGGACGGGUGAGUAACGCGUGAGUAACCUGCCUUACACAAGGGGAUAGCCGUUGGAAACGACGAAUAAUACCCUAUGAAACUAUCACUUCGCAUGAAGCGAUAGUCAAAGUGUUAGCGGUGUAAGAUGGACUUGCGUCUGAUUAGCUAGUUGGUGAGAAAAAAGCCCACCAAGGCAACGAUCAGUAGCCGGCUUGAGAGAGUGUACGGCCACAUUGGGACUGAGACACGGCCCAGACUCCUACGGGAGGCAGCAGUGGGGAAUUUUGCACAAUGGGGGAAACCCUGAUGCAGCGACGCCGCGUGAUUUAGAAGGCCUUCGGGUUGUAAAAAUCUUUUGUAUGGGAAGAAAAUGACAGUACUAUACGAAUAAGGUCCGGCUAAUUACGUG
rnacentral:rRNA from 1 species